GAUGAACGCUGGCGGCGUGCCUAAUACAUGCAAGUCGAGCGAACAGACGAGGAGCUUGCUCCUCUGACGUUAGCGGCGGACGGGUGAGUAACACGUGGAUAACCCACCUAUAAGACUGGGAUAACUUCGGGAAACCGGAGCUAAUACCGGAUAAUAUAUUGAACCGCAGGGUUCAAUAGUGAAAGACGGUUUUGCUGUCUCUUAUAGAUGGAUCCGCGCCGCAUUAGCUAGUUGGUAAGGUAACGGCUUACCAAGGCAACGAUGCGUAGCGGCCAUGAGAGGUUGAUCGGCCACCCUGGAACUGAGACACGGUCCAGACUCCUACGGGAGGCAGCAGUAGGGAAUCUUCCGCAAUGGGCGAAAGCCUGACGGAGCAACGCCGCGUGAGUGAUGAAGGUCUUCGGAUCGUAAAACUCUGUUAUUAGGGAAGAACAAAUGUGUAAGUAACUAUGCACGUCUUGACGGUACCUAAUCAGAAAGCCACGGCUAACUACGUG
rnacentral:rRNA from 1 species